CUUAUUAGGAGAGGAAGUGGGACCUUUUGAGCUAGCUUCCUAAAAGAAGACUUGGCUGGGUCUAAGUUCUAGCCAAAGACUGCUAGAUACCAGAGCCUCCCUAGGGGAUGGGAACUAUAAGCAACCUAACUGGAGAGCUGAGUCAUGAGAAGGGGCAAACUACCACAGGCUCGGAGUGGCUAUUGACAGGAGGUGUCAGAAUUGAAGAGGCUGUUACACUAGGCCUGGCCAUGAUGGGUGCUCUGGCUGGUGAUGGACUCUCCUACACCUAAUUAAUAAGCUACGUUGGAAACUAUAUAAAACAAAAACAUAUUCCCAAGCCUGUUUGUACUUCUAGCACUUUUUUGUCUAUUCACUCCACUUCUGUCUGAUGUGAAUACAAAAUGAGGGCAUUACUGUUUUCUCAGCUGCAUGAAAUGUGCCAUGUUCAUUUGUUAUGGUUCAAUAAAUUGUAAAGGCAGUUA